rnacentral:rRNA from 1 species
UACGAAGGGGGCUAGCGUUGCUCGGAAUCACUGGGCGUAAAGGGUGCGUAGGCGGGUCUCUAAGUCAGGGGUGAAAUCCUGGAGCUCAACUCCAGAACUGCCUUUGAUACUGAAGAUCUUGAGUUCGGGAGAGGUGAGUGGAACUGCGAGUGUAGAGGUGAAAUUCGUAGAUAUUCGCAAGAACACCAGUGGCGAAGGCGGCUCACUGGCCCGAUACUGACGCUGAGGCACGAAAGCGUGGGGAGCAAGCAGG